UUGGCCCUACGGGACGCAGCAGUGAGGAAUAUUGGUCAAUGGGCGGGAGCCUGAACCAGCCAAGUCGCGUGAGGGAAGACGGUCCUAUGGAUUGUAAACCUCUUUAGGCGGGGAGCGAUGCCGGGCACGCGUGCCCGGAGGGAGAGUACCCGCAGAAUAAGCAUCGGCUAACUCCGUGCCAGCAGCCGCGGUAAUACGGAGGAUGCGUGCGUUAUCCGGAUUUAUUGGGUUUAAAGGGUGCGUAGGCGGAUUUUUAAGUCAGCGGUAAACUGUCCGGGCCCAACCCGGGCCGGCCGUUGAAACUG
rnacentral:rRNA from 1 species